rnacentral:tRNA from 1 species
GGUUCGGUAGUUUAAUUUUAGAAUACCAGAUUGCAAAUCUGGAGAUGUAAUGAUAUACUCGAGCUU